UGCUCGUGGUGAAGCGGCCCCUCUCGGAGCUCUGGGCCCUGCCAGGGGUAGGAUGGGGCCAAAGCA
rfam:Fukomys damarensis contig114949, whole genome shotgun sequence.